UACAGAGGUGGCAAGCGUUGUUCGGAAUUACUGGGCGUAAAGGGCGAGUAGGUGGCCAUCUAAGUCAGACGUGAAAUCCCCCGGCUUAACCUGGGAACUGCGUCUGAUACUGGACGGCUUGAGUAUGGGAGAGGAAUGUAGAAUUCCAGGUGUAGCGGUGAAAUGCGUAGAGAUCCGAAGGAACGCCGGUGGCGAAAGCGGCGGACUGGGCACCUUCUGACGCUGAGGCGCGAAAGCCAGGGGAGCAAACGGG
rnacentral:rRNA from 1 species